ACGGCGCGUUGGAGCUGCAAAGGCAGUGUUUCAGCUGAGCGACACAUUGAAGUGGAGCCGCAGUGGUGGCGUUUUCACUCAGGCGUUCGACGCCCAGCUUUGGAUGGUGCACCUUGAUCCGCAUCCUUUGGGGUCAUCAUCGUUGUUAAGUAGCGAUUGGUUAGUGUAGGUACCAUAAUGGCGUCCUUCAGCAUAGGGAGGUUUCGUGGGCUAGGCAGACGGGUAGAGAGCGGAUCAGGCCAGAAGGCCAAAAUCCUGCAGACAUGUGUGUCAAAGAGCUUGGGCUCAGCGCAAGCGCAACAACCAAGUGGAAUCGUAAUGCUCGAAGGCUACGGACACGCAAAAGGGCGCCCCCUCCGCGACUAAAAAAAAA
rnacentral:lncRNA from 1 species